rnacentral:rRNA from 1 species
GUAGGUGGCAAGCGUUGUCCGGAAUUAUUGGGCGUAAAGCGCGCGCAGGCGGUUCUUUAAGUCUGAUGUGAAAGCCCACGGGCUCAACCGUGGAGGGUCAUUGGAAACUGGAGAACUUGAGUACAGAAGAGGAAAGCGGAAUUCCACGUGUAGCGGUGAAAUGCGUAAAGAUGUGGAGGAACACCAGUGGCGAAGGCGGCUUUCUGGUCUGUAACUGACGCUGAGGCGCGAAAGCGUGGGGAGCAAACAGGAUUAGAUACCCUGGUAGUCCACGCCGUAAACGAUGAGUGCUAAGUGUUAGGGGGUUUCCGCCCCUUAGUGCUGCAGCUAACGCAUUAAGCACUCCGCCUGGGGAGUACGGCCGCAAAGGCUG